GGGAGCGGUCGAAGGUGGGGCUGGCGAUUGGGACGAAGUCGUAACAAGGUAGCCGUACCGGAAGGUGCGGCUGGAUCACCUCCUUUCU
rnacentral:rRNA from 1 species